GAUGAAGAACGCAGCGAAAUGCGAUAAGUAGUGUGAAUUGCAGAAUUCAGUGAAUCAUCGAAUCUUUGAACGCACAUUGCGCCCCUUGGUAUUCCAUGGGGCAUGCCUGUUCGAGCGUCAUUUGUACCUUCAAGCUCUGCUUGGUGUUGGGUGUUUGUCUCGCCUCUGCGUGUCGACUCGCCUCAAAACAAUUGGCAGCCGGCGUAUUGAUUUCGGAGCGCAGUACAUCUCGCGCUUUGCACUCAUAACGACGACGUCCAAAAGUACAUUUUUACACUCUUGACCUCGCAUCAGGUAGGGAUACCCGCUGAACUUAAGCAUAUCAAUAAGCGGAGGA
rnacentral:misc_RNA from 1 species